ACAGCGUUGCGGUCAGGGCAGAGCAAAAAAAACAAGACAUCAGUAUUGCCGAGUAUUUGCUAGUACCUGUUCCCAAGCUAAGAUCUCUCAUUGAAGUUGGAGCCCACUGAUUCCACUAGACUGUCUGGCCAGCAAGCAAUCACCAGGAAUCACCUGUAUCCGUAUCUGCCUGCCGUGACACUCACUGCCGCCUUGAAUUAUCUAUCUAUCUAUCUAUCUAUCUAUCUAUCUAUCUAUCUAUCUAUCUAUCUAUCUAUCUAUCUAUCUAUCUUCACACGAGCAGUUGGGAAUAUAACUCAUAUCCUCAUGCCAAUGCAUCAAGCAUGUUCCUAACUGAGCAGUCUCCCCAGCUCUUGGAGUUUCUGGAUUUGUUCGGGAGCCUUCUCCCUCCUCCAGAAAGAGGAGUGGAACAGGCACACGUGAAUUCACUCUGUUGAGCCUGGAAGGGGUGAAAGAGGAGAAAGGCUGCCUGUUUUCUAGACGUUCCUCAUGAGCUAUAUGCGUGUACCACGAAGGCUUGCUUGGAUCCAGAGCUGGGGCUGACCUAACUGAGAUGCUACCCAGGGGUUUCUGGCUCACUGUGGCCACCGUGGCUCCACAGACCACCCACUUAUAACAAAAUAAAAAACUUUCUACAA
rnacentral:lncRNA from 1 species